rnacentral:rRNA from 1 species
GACGAACGCUGGCGGCGUGCCUAAUACAUGCAAGUGGAACGCAUUUUAAUCACCGUAGCUUGCUACACCGAAUAAAAUGAGUCGCGAACGGGUGAGUAACGCGUAGGUAACCUACCUUCUAGCGGGGGACAACUAUUGGAAACGAUAGCUAAUACCGCAUAAGACAUUAUAUCGCAUGAUAGGAUGUUAAAAGAUACAAUUGUAUCACUAGGAGAUGGACCUGCGUUGUAUUAGCUAGUUGGUGAGGUAACGGCUCACCAAGGCAGCGAUACAUAGCCGACCUGAGAGGGUGAUCGGCCACACUGGGACUGAGACACGGCCCAGACUCCUACGGGAGGCAGCAGUAGGGAAUCUUCGGCAAUGGGGGCAACCCUGACCGAGCAACGCCGCGUGAGUGAAGAAGGUUUUCGGAUCGUAAAGCUCUGUUGUAAGCGAAGAAGAGUGUUAGGAGUGGAAAAUCUAACACAUGACGGUAGCUUACCAGAAAGGGACGGCUAACUACGUGCCAGCAGCCGCGGUAAUACGUAGGUCUCGAGCGUUGUCCGGAUUUAUUGGGCGUAAAGCGAGCGCAGGCGGUUAGAUAAGUCAGAAGUUAAAGGCUGUGGCUCAACCAUAGUAUGCUUUUGAAACUGUUUAACUUGAGUGCAGAAGGGGAGAGUGGAAUUCCAUGUGUAGCGGUGAAAUGCGUAGAUAUAUGGAGGAACACCGGUGGCGAAAGCGGCUCUCUGGUCUGUGACUGACGCUGAGGCUCGAAAGCGUGGGUAGCGAACAGGAUUAGAUACCCUGGUAGUCCACGCCGUAAACGAUGAGUGCUAGGUGUUAGACCCUUUCCGGGGUUUAGUGCCGUAGCUAACGCAUUAAGCACUCCGCCUGGGGAGUACGACCGCAAGGUUGAAACUCAAAGGAAUUGACGGGGGCCCGCACAAGCGGUGGAGCAUGUGGUUUAAUUCGAAGCAACGCGAAGAACCUUACCAGGUCUUGACAUCCCUCUGACCGGUCUAGAGAUAGGCUUUCCCUUUUGGGCAGAGGAGACAGGUGGUGCAUGGUUGUCGUCAGCUCGUGUCGUGAGAUGUUGGGUUAAGUCCCGCAACGAGCGCAACCCUUAUUGUUAGUUGCCAUCAUUGAGUUGGGCACUCUAGCGAGACUGCCGGUAAUAAACCGGAGGAAGGUGGGGAUGACGUCAAAUCAUCAUGCCCCUUAUGACCUGGGCUACACACGUGCUACAAUGGUUGGUACAACGAGUCGCAAGCCGGUGACGGCAAGCUAAUCUCUUAAAGCCAAUCUCAGUUCGGAUUGUAGGCUGCAACUCGCCUACAUGAAGUCGGAAUCGCUAGUAAUCGCGGAUCAGCACGCCGCGGUGAAUACGUUCCCGGGCCU